AAAAAGGGUAGGUUGGCUAAAUAUGCCAUUCUUACCCGCGAUGGUGAUAGCUGUAUGCUUAUCAAGACAUAUGGCUAACAUAAUUUGUGGAGCCCUGUAGGGUUGGCUCGCUUGGCCAACAACCCUCAC